GAUGAACGUUGGCGGCGUGCCUAACACAUGCAAGUCGAACGAAAGUAGCAAUACUUUAGUGGCGCACGGGUGAGUAACACGUAGCUUACCUCCCUCUCAGCGCGGGAUAACGACUCGAAAGAGUUGCUAAUACCGCAUAAGCUCACGGGUUCUAGAGACUUGUGAGAAAAGGCGCAAAUCACUGAGAGACGGGGCUGCGGCCCAUCAGCUAGUUGGCGCGGAAAGGCGCACCAAGGCGACGACGGGUAGGGGACCUGAGAGGGU
rnacentral:rRNA from 1 species